UUUCCGUAGGUGAACCUGCGGAAGGAUCAUUACCGAGUACUCCUGUUCUGCAGGAACUCCCACCCGUGAUCAAUUCCACUGUUGCUUCGGCAAGACGUUGGAAACGGCCAUCGCUAUUGGUAUUGAUAUCAAUGACGAUGUGAGCUUGCCGGAGUCAUUUACUCAUAAACUGUAUUAGUCAGAGAAAACAAGCAAUAAAUAAAAACUUUCAACAACGGAUCUCUUGGUUUUG
rnacentral:misc_RNA from 1 species